rnacentral:rRNA from 1 species
UACGAAGGGGGCUAGCGUUGUUCGGAAUUACUGGGCGUAAAGGGCGCGUAGGCGGUGUGUCAAGUCAGGCGUGAAAGCCCCGGGCUCAACCUGGGAACCGCGCUUGAGACUGGCACGCUAGAGUUCGGGAGAGGAUGGUGGAAUUCCCAGUGUAGAGGUGAAAUUCGUAGAUAUUGGGAAGAACACCGAUGGCGAAGGCAGCCACCUGGACCGACACUGACGCUGAGGCGCGAAAGCGUGGGGAGCAAACAGG